CAGAGGGUGCAAGCGUUAAUCGGAUUUACUGGGCGUAAAGCGUGUGUAGGUGGUUGGGAAAGUCAAUUGUGAAAGCCCCGGGCUUAACUCGGGAACUGCUUUUGAUACUGUCUGACUAGAAUUCGGUAGAGGGAGGCGGAACUCCAGGUGUAGCGGUGAAAUGCGUAGAUAUCUGGAAGAACACCAAUGGCGAAGGCAACCUCCUGGGCCUGAAUUGACACUGAGACACGAAAGCGUGGGGAUCAAACAGGAUUAGAUACCCUGGUAGUCCACGCCGUAAACGAUGACAACUUGACGUCGGUUUGCUCUGCGAAUCGGUGUCGUAGCUAACGCGAUAAGUUGUCCGCCUGGGGAGUACGGCCGCAAGGUUG
rnacentral:rRNA from 1 species